CAGCAGCCGCCGCGGGAAAACAGAGGGUGCGAGCGUUAAUCGGAUUUACUGGGCGUAAAGCGUGCGUAGGCGGCUUCUUAAGUCGGAUGUGAAAUCCCUGAGCUUAACUUAGGAAUUGCAUUCGAUACUGGGAAGCUAGAGUAUGGGAGAGGAUGGUAGAAUUCCAGGUGUAGCGGUGAAAUGCGUAGAGAUCUGGAGGAAUACCGAUGGCGAAGGCAGCCAUCUGGCCUAAUACUGACGCUGAGGUACGAAAGCAUGGGGAGCAAACAGGAUUAGAUACCCCAGUAGUCCCUGUCUCUUAUAC
rnacentral:rRNA from 1 species